GACACCAACAAGAGAACAUGUGUUAGAGAUGCAAGCAAUUAGUUAAUAUAUUACAACUUCCAACCUCUGAGCAAAACAGGCAACAAAAAUUUCCUCUUGACAAAAAGCUAUACAGAUAAGAUCAGCUUCAUUCCCACACAAUGCCACGGCCCUGCCUUGGAGCAGCCCCGAAGGAGUCUGGGAGGGAGGGAGGGAGGGUCGGGGACUCAGGGGUCUGUGGGGUGUGCGCCCCAGGGGUAGGUGGCUGCUGGGCUCCGGAGUGGAGAAGUGGAGAUUGAAAUGAAAGAAGUGCCCCAUGGAUCCCGGUCACGAAGCUGGCUGCCUGCUUCUUGCUGGGGCUUUCUAAUGAAACUGAAGGGAAAAUGAAUUCUCAUUGCUGUUUUCAAAGGAGAGAAGGUGCCUGCAAAAGGAAAUGGACUCAGAAAGACACGGAGCUUGCCAAGGUUACACAGCCAGGAAGUGACAGGGUCUGGACUUGGACCCAGAGCCUACACAUUCUAACCGCCGCUCAGCAUUGUUCCUGUCUUAGUCUGCAACCUGGAAAAGAUGCCGCCUCGGCUCCCCGGGCACACAGCAGCAGAAGCAAACAGAGAAGGAGCCAGGUGCCUCCGCGGAUGUCAUCUCACAUCUUUCCAGGACCGACCCUGCCAAGUGCAUGUUAACCGCAGCCUCAUCUCACAGGUGUGCAAACUGAGGCCCAACGAGCGCUGAGCAGACUGCCCCUCAGGCCCCCCGGGGAGAUGGGCACCCAGGCGUCCACGGCUCUUCACCAGGACUCGAAGCUGAUGUUCACACGCGUGUCCCCGGGAACCUGUGUGGCUUGUUUUCUCCCACCGCUGGAGACACCUCCAGGGCACCUCUGAGGCAUCCCUAGAGCUCCAGGGAGCACCAUUUGAAACAACACUUUCCCAGGAUCCAUGGGCGUAAGCAGAAUGACAUUCACUUCCUAAAAUCUGCCUCCCCUAAGCCAGGCCUGGAUGAGCUCUGGCCCGGCCUCUCCGUUCCUGGACCGUCUCUCCCUACAACCCAUCCUCAUCCUUCAAGGCAACAGGGUCC